rnacentral:rRNA from 1 species
UUUCUACAUAUAGCUCAACCAACUAUCCAAACCACCCCAAAUUAAAACAAACCAUUUGACCCUACUAGUAAAGGAGAUU